GUGUGUGUGUCUGUGUGUGUCUGUGUGUGUGUCUGUGUGGUGCGUCACUUUCUCCUAAGUGCCAUCAGAAACGUCGUGCAACUUCCUCCAUGUUGUUUUUUUCCUUUUCCCCUGAAUGUCUACAUGUUGGUGAUGUCACAGGAUUUAUCAUUUAUCAGUGUAUGCCAUUUUGUCAUUUCAUGUUAAAGGUGUUUGAGAUUCUUGGCAGUUUCUGUACAUUUCUGUGUUGUUGAAGAUGUUAGAUGUUAUCGAUGCUCUAAGGUACCCAUAUACACCGGCAGAGGCCUGAGAUGAAGACCGUUUCUUUCUGUGCAGCACAGUAUUUUAUACUGAGAGAAAAAUGGAACUCUUUGUGGCCGUCUUUGUUUCUGUUAUGGUAUUUGUGUGUGUGUGUGUGUGUCUCACUGUCUGUGUUUAUAUGAGGUCAUGCCUGUGGUGUUUUAAAGACAAUGUGAAAUGUUAAAAAGCAUUUUUCUCCCAUUCCGAUGUAAUCCGAUUGGACGGUGAGACAAGA
ensembl:lncRNA